AUGCCCCGCAUGGCUCACUCCCCGCUGUUGCCGGCACUAGUGCUGGCGAUCACCUCCGCGCUGGUUCCGUUCACAGUCGCUGACCCGCAGGCUAUGCUGCUCAGCCAAGGGUGCAGCCUGUACAACGUCACGUCCACGGCCGCCUUCCUCUCCGCCCUUAACUCCACCUUUGCCGAACUCCGCGCUAACCUCUCCGCCGGCGGCGGCUUCGCCACCGUGUUUCAGCCGCGCACCGUCGCGCCGACGUACGCGUUGGCGCAGUGCCGCCCAUACGUCACCGGGAGAGACUGCGUCGCAUGCUUCGACGCCGCUGCGUCGCACGUCCACCCUGCCUGCGGCGCUGCCAGCGGCGGGCGCGCCAUCCUCGACGGCUGCAUCGUACGGUACGAGAGCUUGCCUUUCUUCAACGAAUCCACGGGCCCUGGCAACAAGCAGAUCUGCAACGGCUCCACCAUGGCCGGCGGCGCUGUGCAGGCGCUGGUCAGCGACCUCGCGAUCGCAGUGCCUCGCUUCCCGCGGCUCGUUGCGAUGGCCGCGGGCGCCGGCGUGUACGCCAUGGCGCAGUGUGUGGAGACGGUCGGGGCGGGCGGCUGCGCGCAGUGCCUGGAGGUAGCUUCGAGCAACAUUGACCUGUGCCCGCCCAAUUCUGACGGCCGCGCAGUGGACGUGGGGUGUUACAUGAGAUACUCUGAUAAGCCGUUCUUCCCAGCUAACGAGACCGCAGACCUCGCGCCCUACUUGCGCUCUGGUGAUAUACUUGGAGCAACGGAACUGCAAGGUCCAACAAAUUUUUACUAUCGCGAUCUUAAGGCUGCAACCAAUAAUUUCAGUGAGAAAAAUAAAAUUGGAGAAGGAGGUUUUGGAGAUGUCUUUAAGGGUUUGUUGAAAAAUGGGAAAAUUGUUGCAGUAAAAAGGUUGUCAGUAAUGCAAACUAGCAGGGCCAAAGAAGAUUUUGAAAGUGAGGUGAAGCUGAUUAGCAAUGUUCAACAUCGAAAUCUUGUCCGGCUUCUUGGUUGUUCUCGCAAGGGUUCCGAAUGCAUCCUUGUCUAUGAAUAUAUGGCCAAUAGUAGUCUUGACAAGUUACUAUUCAGUGAGAGACGUGGAAUACUUAACUGGAAGCAGCGAUUUAACAUCAUGGUUGGCAUGGCCCGUGGCCUUGCAUAUCUUCAUCAAGAGUUCCAUGUGUGUAUCAUACACCGUGACAUAAAAUCUAGCAAUGUUCUUCUUGAUAUGACUUCCAGCCUAAGAUUGCUGAUUUUGGUUUGGCAAGGCUCCUACCUGAUGAUCAUAGUCAUGUCAGCACUAGAUUUGCAGGCACAUUGGGGUACACUGCUCCCGAGUAUGCAAUCCAAGGCCAGCUAA
rnacentral:rRNA from 1 species